rnacentral:rRNA from 1 species
UACGGAGGGUGCAAGCGUUAUCCGGAUUCACUGGGUUUAAAGGGUGCGUAGGAGGGCAGGUAAGUCCGUGGUGAAAUCUCUGAGCUUAACUCAGAAACUGCCGUGGAUACUACCGGUCUUGAAUAUCGUGGAGGUGAGCGGAAUAUGUCAUGUAGCGGUGAAAUGCUUAGAUAUGACAUAGAACACCAAUUGCGAAGGCAGCUCGCUACACGAAUAUUGACUCUGAGGCACGAAAGCGUGGGGAUCAAACAGG